UGCUUUCUCCGCUGACGAGCGGCGGACGGGUGAGUAAUGUCUGGGGAUCUGCCUGAUGGAGGGGGAUAACUACUGGAAACGGUAGCUAAUACCGCAUAACGUCGCAAGACCAAAGUGGGGGACCUUCGGGCCUCAUGCCAUCAGAUGAACCCAGAUGGGAUUAGCUAGUAGGUGAGGUAAUGGCUCACCUAGGCGACGAUCCCUAGCUGGUCUGAGAGGAUGACCAGCCACACUGGAACUGAGACACGGUCCAGACUCCUACGGGAGGCAGCAGUGGGGAAUAUUGCACAAUGGGCGCAAGCCUGAUGCAGCCAUGCCGCGUGUAUGAAGAAGGCCUUCGGGUUGUAAAGUACUUUCAGUAGGGAGGAAGGUGUGCGUGUUAAUAGCACGUGCAAUUGACGUUACCUACAGAAGAAGCACCGGCUAACUCCGUGCCAGCAGCCGCGGUAAUACGGAGGGUGCAAGCGUUAAUCGGAAUUACUGGGCGUAAAGCGCACGCAGGCGGUUUGUUAAGUUGGAUGUGAAAUCCCCGGGCUUAACCUGGGAACUGCAUCCAAGACUGGCAAGCUAGAGUCUCGUAGAGGGAGGUAGAAUUCCAGGUGUAGCGGUGAAAUGCGUAGAGAUCUGGAGGAAUACCGGUGGCGAAGGCGGCCUCCUGGACGAAGACUGACGCUCAGGUGCGAAAGCGUGGGGAGCAAACAGGAUUAGAUACCCUGGUAGUCCACGCUGUAAACGAUGUCGAUUUGGAGGUUGUGCCCUUGAGGCGUGGCUUCCGAAGCUAACGCGUUAAAUCGACCGCCUGGGGAGUACGGCCGCAAGGUUAAAACUCAAAUGAAUUGACGGGGGCCCGCACAAGCGGUGGAGCAUGUGGUUUAAUUCGAUGCAACGCGAAGAACCUUACCUACUCUUGACAUCCAGCGAAUCCUGUAGAGAUACGGGAGUGCCUUCGGGAACGCUGAGACAGGUGCUGCAUGGCUGUCGUCAGCUCGUGUUGUGAAAUGUUGGGUUAAGUCCCGCAACGAGCGCAACCCUUAUCCUUUGUUGCCAGCGGUUCGGCCGGGAACUCAAAGGAGACUGCCAGUGAUAAACUGGAGGAA
rnacentral:rRNA from 1 species